CCUACGAGUGGCAGCAGUGGGGAAUAUUGCACAAUGGGGAAACCCUGAUGCAGCGACGCCGCGUGAAGGAUGAAGUAUUUCGGUAUGUAAACUUCUAUCAGCAGGGAAGAAAAUUACGGUUCCUUACUUAGAAGCCCCCGCUAACUACGUGCCAGCAGCCGCGGUUAUACGUAGGGGGCAAGCGUUAUCCGGAUUUACUGGGUGUAAAGGGGGCGUAGACGGGAGGGCAAGGCUGAGUGGAAAACCCGGGGCUCAACCCCGGGACUGUAUUGGGAACUGUCAGGCUAGAGUGUCGGAGAGGCAAGUGGAAUUCCUAGUGUAGCGGUGAAAUGCGUAGAUAUUAGGAGGGACACCAGUGGCGAAGGCGGCUUGAUGGAAGAGGACUGACGUUGAGGCUCGAAAGCGUGGGGAGCAAACAGGAUUAGAUACCCCGGGUAGUC
rnacentral:rRNA from 1 species